GACUCUGAGUGUGGUCUGGCUGUGACAUCAGCAUCCCACUGAUUACUUGGGUUGAUUCAACUGAUUUGGCUGACUGGGUUUGGGUCUAUAUACUUCCUUCACAGCCCUAAAAGCUGUGCAUUGUCGAAGGAUGAUGACAUCCCUGGGGAGAACAAAACCACUUAAUUUUUGUCAAAAAGGAAAUGAUAUUUUCCUUUUAGCAUGUCUUGAUUAGACCUGUGACUAAAGGUCUGAUAGACUGCUUUAAAAUGAAAGGCAAAAUUGUUUAACCAAAAGUGGGUUCAAAUUAUAUUUUCAAUUGCAAAUA
rnacentral:sRNA from 1 species